rnacentral:sRNA from 1 species
GGUAACCAUUUCAGACGAGUUCGAUGC